AACGAACGCUGGCGGCAUGCCUAACACAUGCCAGUCGAACGAGACCUUCGGGUCUAGUGUCGCACGGGUGCGUAACGCGUGGGAACCUGCCCUUAGGUUCGGAAUAACUCCCCGAAAGGGGUGCUAAUACCGGAUAAUGUCUUCGGACCAAUGAUUUAUCGCCUUUGGAUGGGCCCGCGUUGGAUUAGCUAGUUGUUAGGGUAAAAGCCUACCAAGGCGACGAUCCAUAGCUGGUCUGAGAGGAUGAUCAGCCACACUGGGACUGAGACACGGCCCAGACUCCUACGGGAGGCAGCAGUGGGGAAUAUUGGACAAUGGGCGAAAGCCUGAUCCAGCAAUGCCGCGUGAGUGAUGAAGGCCUUAGGGUUGUAAAGCUCUUUUACCCGGGAUGAUAAUGACAGUACCGGGAGAAUAAGCUCCGGCUAACUCCGUG
rnacentral:rRNA from 1 species